rnacentral:rRNA from 1 species
UCUCGCGUCAGGAUAUGCCUAGGUGGGAUUAGCUAGUUGGUGAGGUAAGGGCUCACCAAGGCGACGAUCCCUAGCUGGUCUGAGAGGAUGAUCAGCCACACUGGAACUGAGACACGGUCCAGACUCCUACGGGAGGCAGCAGUGGGGAAUAUUGCACAAUGGGCGCAAGCCUGAUGCAGCCAUGCCGCGUGUGUGAAGAAGGCCUUCGGGUUGUAAAGCACUUUCAGUCGUGAGGAAGGUGGUGUAGUUAAUAGCUGCAUUAUUUGACGUUAGCGACAGAAGAAGCACCGGCUAACUCCGUGCCAGCAGCCGCGGUAAUACGGAGGGUGCGAGCGUUAAUCGGAAUUACUGGGCGUAAAGCGCAUGCAGGUGGUUUGUUAAGUCAGAUGUGAAAGCCCGGGGCUCAACCUCGGAAUAGCAUUUGAAACUGGCAGACUAGAGUACUGUAGAGGGGGGUAGAAUUUCA